UACAGAGGUGGCAAGCGUUGUUCGGAAUUACUGGGCGUAAAGGGCGCGUAGGCGGUCUUCUAAGUCUUGUGUGAAAUCCCUCGGCUCAACUGAGGAACUGCACGGGAUACUGGAAGACUUGAGUUCGGGAGAGGGAAGCGGAAUUCCGGGUGUAGCGGUGAAAUGCGUAGAUAUCAGGAAGAACACCGGUGGCGAAGGCGGCUCUCUGGACCGAUACUGACGCUGAGAUGCGAAAGCGUGGGUAGCAAACAGG
rnacentral:rRNA from 1 species